AUUGAACGCUGGCGGAAUGCUUUACACAUGCAAGUCGAACGGCAGCACGGACUUCGGUCUGGUGGCGAGUGGCGAACGGGUGAGUAAUAUAUCGGAACGUGCCCAGUCGUGGGGGAUAACGUAGUGAAAAUUACGCUAAUACCGCAUACGAUCUAUGGAUGAAAGCGGGGGACCUUUGGGCCUCGCGCGAUUGGAGCGGCCAAUAUCAGAUUAGGUAGUUGGUGGGGUAAAGGCUCACCAAGCCAACGAUCUGUAGCUGGUCUGAGAGGACGACCAGCCACACUGGGACUGAGACACGGCCCAGACUCAUACGGGAGGCAGCAGUGGGGAAUUUUGGACAAUGGACGCAAGUCUGAUCCAGCCAUUCCGCGUGCAGGACGAAGGCCUUCGGGUUGUAAACUGCUUUUGUACAGAACGAAAAGGUUUCUAUUAAUACUAGGAGCUCAUGACGGUACUGUAAGAAUAAGCACCGGCUAACUACGUGCCAGCCGCCGCCGUAA
rnacentral:rRNA from 1 species